GAAAGCCACAGUAGGUCCCUCCAGCAAUCUAACUUAGAGGCAGAAAGACAAGAUGGGGCAGCAGGGGUUACACAACAUCUUUCCUGAAGAGACAUGAGUAGAUGUAGGUUCCCCCAGAGAGGUGCCUUCAGACCAAAGGAACACUCCACCUCAGUCCAGUACAGUCAGCCACCAGAUUCAGCCUGCAGGUCCGCAGCGCCUUGACCAGUCUGGCCACCGAGGCGUUCUUCUUCUCGGCAUUCUUCCAGACUUUCAGACUCUCCCUUAUCCGCUCACUCAGACUUCGGGGGUACUUCUCCUCAAUCCCAUCAAUCUUGGCCUCAGACACCUUCAGCUCUCGGGCCAGUGCUUUCCAGUCUCUCCCCACAUUGUCACACACAAUGUCAAAUGCCACCUGCAGAUCUAGGAGGGAAAAGAGCAGUGUGACUUGACUGAGGAGCUGGGGCAAGUCUCCCCACCGGCCACCAAGCAUGGGCCUGAACACUUCGAAGGCAACAUCACUUCAAAGCCACUCAGGUCCUGUACUGACACUAAGUAGCACAGGAGCUACUUCAAGAUACCCACAGUGGCCUGAUCUGCCCAGCCACAUUCUCUCAGCCUAGGCCACAGGGAGCUAUGGCUUAGAAGACUGCCAACUGAGGACUGGAGUGUCAGAGGGAAAAAGCAGGGCUGCCCUAACACCCCGCUCAAUAGUGGGUUGGCCAAAGUCCCCAAAGCUACAUCCUACACUGUGACCUUUGCUGGCUUGACCAGACACCACAAAAGGUCUGUCUCUGUGCUACUCUGGAGCCCCUGCUUAGACACAGGCAAGGUGUAAUCUCUGUAGGGAGCCCUGGGCAGUGACUGAAGACCCCUUACUGGAUUCCUGUAAUAAUAACAAACAUUGGAUGCCUUGGAGAUGUGAAUACACAAUCCAUUUUCGUGUGGAUCUUGCACACACCGGCAGUGGAAAGCUUUACUCCAUAGGCCCUCCAGCUGCUUUGAUUUUCUGCGUCACUGUAGACAAGAGCAACGGUGACAACCAACCAGGAACUAAAUAAACCUUUGCCCCUUU
rnacentral:lncRNA from 1 species